UGAUAUGGCUCCUUGAUGUCCUCUGUCCU
rnacentral:piRNA from 1 species